GAGAAAGUCAUAAAGGUUGUAGAAUUGGCCUGAAACCAAUUACUGGGGAUUCGAUUCCUUCCUUUCUCG
rnacentral:tRNA from 1 species